GUCUACGACCAUACCACCCUAAACACAGCCGAUCUUAUCUGAUCUCAGAAGCUAAGCAGGGUCGGGCCUGGUUAGUACUUGGGAUGGGAGACCGCCUGGGAAUACUGGGUACUAUAAAAA
rnacentral:rRNA from 1 species